GCUCCCUGCCAACCUAGCGAACGCCGCCUUCUUCACCUCCACCUUUCCUUUGACUACUUCGUUCCACCACCAAUCACCCUGAUGUCUGCCUGAAUAUCCCUUGGCUACCCCGAGCACGUCCCGUGUUACCCCCCUAUCCAAAUUCGCCGUCACUGUCCACAUAGCGUCCGCUUCCCCAGAACUUCUCCAAGCUCCGCCCUCAACUAACCUCCUUUCUAACUCCUGUGCUUUCUCCUUAGUCAAAGCACCCCAUCUAAUCCGCGGUUGUCCCCGAGCGCCC
rnacentral:lncRNA from 1 species